rnacentral:hammerhead_ribozyme from 1 species
AUCCAGCUGAUGAGUCCUGCAUAGAACGAAACGCACGUCCUGGAU